rnacentral:rRNA from 1 species
AGAGUUUGAUCCUGGCUCAGGACGAACGCUGGCGGCGUGCCUAACACAUGCAAGUCGAGCGGAGAUGAUAGCAAUAUCGUCUUAGCGGCGGACGGGUGAGUUAGCGGCGGACGGGUGAGUAACGCGUGGGCAACCUGCCUUUAUCUGGGGGAUAACAUCGGGAAACCGGUGCUAAUACCGCAUAACAUCGCACUUCCGCAUGGGAGAGCGAUCAAAGGAGCAAUCCGGAUAGAGAUGGGCCCGCGUCCGAUUAGAUAGUUGGUGGGGUAAUGGCCUACCAAGUCGACGAUCGGUAGCCGGACUGAGAGGUUGAUCGGCCACAUUGGGACUGAGAUACGGCCCAGACUCCUACGGGGGGCAGCAGUGGGGAAUAUUGCACAAUGGGGGAAACCCUGAUGCAGCAACGCCGCGUGAAGGAUGAAGGUUUUCGGAUCGUAAAGCUCUUUCACCGGGGACGAAAAAUGACAGUACCCGAAAAACAAGCCACGGCUAACUACGUGCCAGCAGCCGCGGUAAUACGUAGGUGGCAAACGUUGUCCGGAAUUAUUGGGCGUAAAGGGCGCGUAGGCGGCCUGUUAAGUCUGGAGUGAAAGUCCCGCUUUUAAGGUGGGAAUUGCUUUGGAAACUGGUAGACUUGAGUGCAGGAGAGGUUAGUGGAAUUCCCGGUGUAGCGGUGAAAUGCGUAGAGAUCGGGAGGAACACCAGUGGCGAAGGCGACUAACUGGACUGUAACUGACGCUGAGGCGCGAAAGUGUGGGGAGCAAACAGGAUUAGAUACCCUGGUAGUCCACACGGUAAACGAUGAAUGCUAGGUGUAGGGGGUAUCGACCCCUUCUGUGCCGGAGUAAACACAAUAAGCAUUCCGCCUGGGGAGUACGGCCGCAAGGUUGAAACUCAAAGGAAUUGACGGGGGCCCGCACAAGCAGCGGAGCAUGUGGUUUAAUUCGAAGCAACGCGAAGAACCUUACCAGGUCUUGACAUCCAGUAAAAACUGUAGAGAUACAGUGUGCCUUCGGGCGUACUGAGACAGGUGGUGCAUGGUUGUCGUCAGCUCGUGUCGUGAGAUGUUGGGUUAAGUCCCGCAACGAGCGCAACCCUUAUUUUCAGUUACUAACGCGUGAUGGCGAGGACUCUGAAGAGACUGCCGGGGACAACUCGGAGGAAGGUGGGGACGACGUCAAAUCAUCAUGCCCCUUAUGACCUGGGCUACACACGUGCUACAAUGGCCUGAACAGAGGGAAGCGAAACUGCGAAGUUAAGCGAACCUGAGAAAAGUAGUCCCAGUUCGGAUCGUGGGCUGCAACCCGCCCGCGUGAAGUCGGAGUUGCUAGUAAUCGCGGAUCAGCAUGCCGCGGUGAAUACGUUCCCGGGCCUUGUACACACCG